GUCAGUUUCCCUUUUCAGUAAUAGAGGCCUUGGUAUGCUUUUACCUAGAGUUUGCUUUUUUUACCCUGUAUGUUUUGAGCGCAAUGGCAAGUUUAGCGGCAUCGCUUAGAGUGAUUGGUGUGACACCUGUUCCAUAGGAGGGUACCGGAGCUGGCAAUGCAAACUCCAUGGCCCAAGUAUGCCAUCGACAGUGCUGUUUCUGUGUACAUCGACUACAGAAACACCACCACUAUCAUGGGCUUUCGUAAAGAACAGUGUGAAUCCUGGCGAUCUUACCUCUAGGGUUGUCAAGGCGUUGAAGAAUAUCACCGAAUGGUUACUGUUUUACAUCACUGCCGGCGCUUUACCUCAUUGUGCUUAAAGCCGCCCUGUAAAUCUCUGGAAUGAAAUUAGUUGUACGACAAAUUCGAAGCUCUCUUUUUAAAGUUAUUUGGUACACUUUUUGCAGACAGUAUAUCUAGCAAGGAUUGCUGAUUAGUGAACCUGUUGAAAAGUUUGAGUCAUUACUUCACAGCGCUAUGCCUUUUUAAGCAUUACAUAAAAGAUAAGCAUUAGAAGAAAUCAACUCUUCAAAUUCCACUCUUCGAUAGCAUUCUCGCAGAUUAAAGGUUGAAGUCACGUACAAUAAAUGUAACGAGUCACUACUAAACAAAACACUUGAAAAUAUAAGAUCUAAAAGGCAGAGAGUACCCGAAAAAGUGUGUUAUUAGACCUUCUGACUUUCCCGGAAGCCAAGUAAAAGAGUUAUUGUAAUGGUGAAAAUUUAAAUAAUUCACCUUUAGAUGCAGCGUUUAAAUGCGGAAUUCACGUUUCCUCCGCAAAUUUUGCUACAUUUGGUAAUAAGCCCUAACGGUCAUUGUUUGCGUAAAACGAGGUAAAAUGUGUGUUUAUUAAGCGCUACGUCUAUUGCGUGCGUAAUCUAUUAAAGCCAACGUUCUGCGUGUUUGGAAAA